CAGGAAGGCACAAAGCUGGGAAUAUUUGGCAAUUAGUACAGCAUGCAAAGUACCUAGCACUAUGACUGGCAUGUUUUUUGUGCCACUCCACGCCAGCUGUAUUUUAGUUCAGAUCUGUUAUCUAUAAAAUGCUGUACAUGUAUUGUUUAAUAUAUUCAAAAGUGUUAAUUGCUGGUAAUUGAUAUAUUACGUCCUCCCUUUCAGAAGUUCCUACAGCUUAAUAGAAAUUCCUGGAGUGACUCAAUUCUCAGCCAGUAACUCAGUUAGUGGAAAGAUUUGGGAAGUUUUCUGAAGGAGGUAGAAUUUGAACUGGAUUUGGAUGUUUCGGUAGCAUCUCAGUAACAAGCUAUCAGGGAAGAAGGAGAGAGAAAAAAACCAGUGCCUAGUGAUGACGCCAAGUCAAGGUAAAACCUGGCCAAGGGUGGACCUGGCUCCAGUGUCUCUUCCAGUUCUCCUUCACCCUGGGGAUUACUCAUUUAUCUCUAUGAAUGCAGAUUUAUGGACCUAUAAAUGAAUAUAUGUGUUAGGGCCACCAUUGCUUGUUGUAACUCCACAAAGCAUGUUGACCACAAAACCUAUUGAGGGCCAUAGGGGCCCAGCCUGCAACGCAGCCCAUCUGCUCCCUGCAUCCUCAUCCACCGCCUUCCUUACCACCGCCCACCCACAUGCCAGCACUGCCGCGCGGCCUCUGCUCCGGCCGUCCCUUGGCCUACACUGCCUUUUCCUAAUCUUUCCCAAGUUGACUCCUAACACCUUUUAAGACUGCCUAGAAUCACCGGGAAGGCUUCGCUGGCCCACCCCUGCCCGCCCAGCUUCCCCAGGCUGGGGGAAGUCCUUCUUCUGGGGGCUUCCGUGUGCACCUCUGUGCCUCCACGUCCCUCCUCACACGGUGACUUUCCGAUGAUGCGCCUGCCUCCCCUGUCCAUGGAUAAUGAAUUCACCCAGGACAGGGCUUUGUCUUUUUCAUUCCUGAAUCCGAAGCUUACCUGCUACUAGAGAAUUUGUGAAUUUCCGUUGAACACGUGGAAGACCUAGGAAGCUGUGGGGGAGAAAGAAUGAAUGACUUUCUUCAAGGCCUCCUGGCAAAGCAGCAGUGCAGCGGGAACCGGAGCCGGAGGACGCUGGCUCCUCACCUAGAGCCCUCCCUUGGGUCAGGGUGGCUCUUCUCUCCCAUACCUAGCGUCCGGCGCUUGGCUUUGUUUCCCGGAGUGGGUGGCACUGUUUGGCCGCCACAGGCACAGCAUCGCCCCUAGGCAUCGCCCUCCGCACCCG
rnacentral:lncRNA from 1 species